rnacentral:piRNA from 1 species
GCACAGACUAUGGAGACAUUAGGACUUU